UAUUGGUCAAUGGCCGAGAGGCUGAACCAGCCAAGUCGCGUGAGGGAUGAAGGUUCUAUGGAUCGUAAACCUCUUUUAUAAGGGAGUAAAGUGCGGGACGUGUCCCGUUUUGUAUGUACCUUAUGAAUAAGGAUCGGCUAACUCCGUGCCAGCAGCCGCGGUAAUACGGAGGAUCCGAGCGUUAUCCGGAUUUAUUGGGUUUAAAGGGUGCGUAGGCGGCCUUUUAAGUCAGCGGUGAAAGUCUGUGGCUCAACCAUAGAAUUGCCGUUGAAACUGGGAGGCUUGAGUAUGUUUGAGGCAGGCGGAAUGCGUGGUGUAGCGGUGAAAUGCUUAGAUAUCACGCAGAACCCCGAUUGCGAAGGCAGCCUGCCAAGCCAUGACUGACGCUGAUGCACGAAAGCGUGGGGAUCAAACAGG
rnacentral:rRNA from 1 species